AGGAGUCUAGUUAAAAUAUAACAUAAAUCUGUCACAUUUAAAUAGUCCUCUGACGGUUCCUU
rnacentral:tRNA from 1 species